rnacentral:rRNA from 1 species
AUUGAACGCUGGCGGCAUGCUUUACACAUGCAAGUCGAGCGGCAGCGCGGGGGCAACCCUGGCGGCGAGCGGCGAACGGGUGAGUAAUGCAUCGGAACGUAUCCUCGAGUGGGGGAUAACCCAGCGAAAGUUGGGCUAAUACCGCAUGAGCUCUGAGGAGGAAAGCGGGGGACCUGCGAGGGCCUCGCGCUGGAGGAGCGGCCGAUGUCCGAUUAGCUAGUUGGUGGGGUAAAGGCUUACCAAGGCGACGAUCGGUAGCUGGUCUGAGAGGAUGAUCAGCCACACUGGGACUGAGACACGGCCCAGACUCCUACGGGAGGCAGCAGUGGGGAAUUUUGGACAAUGGGGGCAACCCUGAUCCAGCGAUGCCGCGUGAGUGAAGAAGGCCUUCGGGUUGUAAAGCUCUUUCGGACGGAACGAAAUGGGCGGGACUAAUACUCCGGUCUGAUGACGGUACCGGAAGAAGAAGCACCGGCUAACUACGUG